UACGGAGGGUGCGAGCGUUGUUCGGAAUUAUUGGGCGUAAAGCGCGUGUAGGCGGUUUGUUAAGUCUGAUGUGAAAGCCCCGGGCUCAACCUGGGAAGUGCAUUGGAUACUGGCAGACUUGAGUACGGGAGAGGAGAGUGGAAUUCCCAGUGUAGGAGUGAAAUCCGUAGAUAUUGGGAGGAACACCGGUGGCGAAGGCGGCUCUCUGGACCGAUACUGACGCUGAGACGCGAAAGCGUGGGUAG
rnacentral:rRNA from 1 species